rnacentral:rRNA from 1 species
AACGGAAGGUGCGAGCGUCGUUCGGAAUCAUUGGGCGUAAAGGGCAUGUAGGCGGUCAUGCAAGUCUGGAGUGAAAUGCCGGGGCUCAACCCCGGAACUGCUUUGGAAACUGCAGGACUGGAGCCACCGAGGCGGAGCCGGAAUUCCAGGUGUAGGGGUGAAAUCUGUAGAUAUCUGGAAGAACACCAAUGGCGAAGGCAGGCUUCGAGCGGAUGACUGGCGCUGAGGUGCGAAGGUGCGGGGAGCAAAC